rnacentral:tRNA from 1 species
GUGGAAGGCGGUCAGUUGCGUAAGCCGAAGGCCGCCUCGGGCGCGGCCGGCGACACCAUGCCGCCGGUGCCGGAACCCGACCUGCCGUCC